rnacentral:rRNA from 1 species
AACGAACGCUGGCGGCAUGCCUAACACAUGCAAGUCGAACGAGACCUUCGGGCUUAGUGGCGCACGGGUGCGUAACGCGUGGGAACCUGCCCUUAGGUUCGGAAUAACUCCCCGAAAGGGGUGCUAAUACCGGAUAAUGUCUUCCGACCAAAGAUUUAUCGCGUUUGGAUGGGCGUGCGUUGGAUUAGCUAGUUGGUAGGGUAAAAGCCUAUCACGGCGAGGAUACAUAACUGGUCUGAGAGGAUGAUCAGCGACACUGGGACUGAGACACGGUCCAGACUCCUACGGGAGGCAGCAGUGGGGGAUAUUGGACAAUGGGCGAAAGGCUGAUCCAGUAAUGCCGCGUGAGUGAUGAAGGCCUUAGGGUUGUAAAGCUCUUUUACCCGGGAUGAUAAUGACAGUACCGGGAGAAUAAGCUCCGGCUAACUCCGUG